rnacentral:rRNA from 1 species
GACGAACGCUGGCGGCGUGCCUAAUACAUGCAAGUUGAGCGCUGAAGGUUGGUACUUGUACCGACUGGAUGAGCAGCGAACGGGUGAGUAACGCGUGGGAAAUCUGCCUUUGAGCGGGGGACAACAUUUGGAAACGAAUGCUAAUACCGCAUAAAAACUUUAAACACAAGUUUUAAGUUUGAAAGAUGCAAUUGCAUCACUCAAAGAUGAUCCCGCGUUGUAUUAGCUAGUUGGUGAGGUAAAGGCUCACCAAGGCGAUGAUACAUAGCCGACCUGAGAGGGUGAUCGGCCACAUUGGGACUGAGACACGGCCCAAACUCCUACGGGAGGCAGCAGUAGGGAAUCUUCGGCAAUGGACGAAAGUCUGACCGAGCAACGCCGCGUGAGUGAAGAAGGUUUUCGGAUCGUAAAACUCUGUUGGUAGAGAAGAACGUUGGUGAGAGUGGAAAGCUCAUCAAGUGACGGUAACUACCCAGAAAGGGACGGCUAACUACGUG